rnacentral:rRNA from 1 species
CGCGUAGGUGGUUUGUUAAGUUGGAUGUGAAAGCCCCGGGCUCAACCUGGGAACUGCAUCCGAAACUGGCAGGCUAGAGUCUUGUAGAGGGGGGUAGAAUUCCAGGUGUAGCGGUGAAAUGCGUAGAGAUCUGGAGGAAUACCGGUGGCGAAGGCGGCCCCCUGGACAAAGACUGACGCUCAGGUGCGAAAGCGUGGGGAGCAAACAA